rnacentral:lncRNA from 1 species
GGCGCACGGCGCGCCGGGAAUUUGAGGACGCUCUGGCAGCUGGUCGGGCGGCUGAGUUCGCUUGGGGUGAGGUGUCUGUUUUGCCGUUUUACUUUUAACAAAUGCUGGGUUUUUAAUGUACGCCACUCCUGGUUUUUCAUUUUUCUCCACAUAGGUGUAUUUAUUCUCUUCCCACUCCAUGGCCUGCUGCCGCGCAGCGUUCUGAUCGAAUCCCUUAAUUGUCCGCAACUUUCCUUAGGGAUUCGCUUUCCAUUUCCUGUGUGUGUUCGACUAAACUGAUAGACUCCAAAAUUUGUCAUUGAGUCUCUGGGGGACUAAGCAGGAUUCUGCCUUUGCACAUUAUGUUCCCGUGGGCGAGGACUUCUUAAUGCUCACUUGAAUGCUUGGUGCCAACCUCUGCCCCUAGUUAGCGCUUCUCGUGGAUCCCUGUCUGCCUGCCCUUCUGCGUUUGAAACUCCGUGAGAGCAGCUAGUAUGCAUGAAAAAAGGAUGAUCAUAGUGAGGAAUGUGAGAAAGAAUACAGAACUGGGAACGGAGAUAUUUGGGAACAGAUAUUGCCUACCAUGCCGCAGACAGAAGGCUGAAGCUUUUCACCUAUAGUUCUCAUUCAGUCCUCCAAACAAAUCUGCAAAGUUGAUGGCAACUCCAUAAAGAUUAAAAAACAACAGCAAACUUAACCUCACAGAAU